rnacentral:rRNA from 1 species
UACGUAGGGUGCGAGCGUUAAUCGGAAUUACUGGGCGUAAAGCGCGUGUAGGCGGCCCUGUAAGUCGGGUGUGAAAUCCCACGGCUCAACCGUGGAAGUGCAUUCGAAACUACAGGGCUAGAGUUCUGGAGAGGAAGGUGGAAUGCUUGGUGUAGUGGUGAAAUGCGUAGAGAUCCGGAGGAACACCGGUGGCGAAGGCGGCCCGCUGGGCCGGCCCUGACGCUGAGGCGCGAAAGCGUGGGGAGCGAACUGA